UUUUCGUUAAGAAAUUUCUUAACUCUCUUGCUUUGGAACAAAAGCUGCGCGCGCAGCAUCAUAAAAAAAAAAAACAACAGACAAUGACUUGAUAUUUACGUUCAUGUUGGUGGAAUGGAAGAUGGUCUGUCUGUUGUUGUAGCAGAUCAGCACUGACAGUGAGGUAUUACAGAAUGAAUGACUGUAACAUGUGAUUUCUUGAUUAAUCUGGAAAAGUGCAAGUUCACAUUCUGGUUGGCUGGUCAGUGUAAUCAAAUUCCACCCACAUCAGAGGUGCUCAGGGAGAGGCAGCAAUAUGGAACAUAGUGGACAACAUGCUAGCACACAGACAGAAACAUUUUGGUUGACAGUUGAUUCAAGGUUAUACUGUGGUAUGUUGAGGUGACUUCUGCUCCAAAAUUACCAGUACAAAACACAGGAAGAAAUUAAGCAU